rnacentral:rRNA from 1 species
ACUCAAAGGAAUAGACGGGGGCCCGCACAAGCAGCGGAGCGUGUGGUUUAAUUCGAUGCAACGCGCAGAACCUCACCUAGGCUUGACAUGCCCCAAGUAGAACCCUGAAAGGGGAACGACUCGUCGAGGCGAGAGGGGGCACAGAUGCUGCAUGGCUGUCGUCAGCUCGUGCCGUGAGGUGUUGGGUUAAGUCCCGCAACGAGCGCAACCCUCGCUGGUAGUUACCAUGUCUACCGGGACCGCCGGUAUCAAACCGGAGGAAGGUGGGGAUGACGUCAAGUCAGCACGGCUCUUACGCCUAGGGCUACACACACGCUACAAUGGCCGGUACAAUGGGACGCCAAGGGGUGACCCGGAGCUAAUCCUAUCAAAGCCGGUCUCAGUUGGGAUUGCAGGCUGCAACUCGCCUGCAUGAACGCGGAGUUGCUAGUAACCGCAGGUCAGCACACUGCGGUGAAUACGUUCCCGGGCCUUGUACACACCGCCCGU